GAUGAAGAACGCAGCGAAAUGCGAUAAGUAAUGUGAAUUGCAGAAUUCAGUGAAUCAUCGAAUCUUUGAACGCACAUUGCGCCCCUUGGUAUUCCGAGGGGCAUGCCUGUUCGAGCGUCAUUAUAACCCUCAAGCUCAGCUUGGUGUUGGGGCCUGCUGCACUGGCAGCCCUUAAAAUCAGUGGCGGCGCCAUCUGGCUCUAAGCGUAGUAAUUCUUCUCGCUAUGGAGUCCUGGUGGAUGCUUGCCAUCAACCCCCAAUUUUUCUAUGGUUGACCUCGGAUCAGGUAGGGAUACCCGCUGAACUUAAGGAUAUCAAUAAGCGGAGGA
rnacentral:misc_RNA from 1 species